AUUGAACGCUGGCGGCAGGCCUAACACAUGCAAGUCGAGCGGAGCGGCGGACGGGUGAGUAAUGCCUAGGAAUCUGCCUGGUAGUGGGGGAUAACGUCCGGAAACGGGCGCUAAUACCGCAUACUAUCAGAUGAGCCUAGGUCGGAUUAGCUAGUUGGGGGGGUAAAGGCCUACCAAGGCGACGCGCCGUAACUGGUCUGAGAGGAGGAUCAGUCACACUGGAAAUGAGAAACGGGCCAGACUCCUACGGGGGGCAGCAGGGGGGAAUAUUGGACAAUGGGCGAAAGCCGUAGCCAGCCGUGCGGCGUGUGUGAAGAAGGUCUUCGGAUUGGAAAGCACUUUAAGUUGGGAGGCGUUACCAACAGAAUAAGCACCGGCUAACUUCGUGCCAGCAGCCGCGGUAAUAC
rnacentral:rRNA from 1 species